AGUAACACGUGGAUAACCUGCCCUUAGGACCGGCAUAACCCUGGGAAACUGGGGAUAAUUCCGGAUAACCCAUGAAUGCUGGAAUGCUUCGUGGGUAAAAUGGUUUCGACCGCCCAAGGAUGGAUCUGCGGCCUAUCAGGUAGUAGUGGGUGUAGCGUACCUACUAGCCGACGACGGGUACGGGUUGUGAGAGCAAGAGCCCGGAGAUGGAUUCUGAGACAUGAAUCCAGGCCCUACGGGGCGCAGCAGGCGCGAAAACUUUACAAUGCGGGAAACCGCGAUAAGGGGACACUGAGUGCCAGCAUCUUAUGUUGGCUGUCCGCAUGUUUAAAAAGCAUGUGUUAGCAAGGGCUGGGCAAGACCGGUGCCAGCCGCCGCGGUAACACCGGCAGCCCGAGUGGUGAUCACUAUUAUUGGGUCUAAAGGGUCCGUAGCCGGUUUGAUCAGUCUUUUGGGAAAUCUGACAGCUUAACUGUUAGGCUUCCAAAGGAUACUGUCAGACUUGGGACCGGGAGAGGUAAGAGGUACUACAGGGGUAGGAGUGAAAUCUUGUAAUCCCUGUGGGACCACCAGUGGCGAAGGCGUCUUACCAGAACGGGUCCGACGGUGAGGGACGAAAGCUGGGGGCACGAACCGGAUUAGAUACCCGGGUAGUCCCAGCCGUAAACGAUGCUCGCUAGGUGUCAGGAAUGGUGCGACCGUUUCUGGUGCCGUAGGGAAGCCGUGAAGCGAGCCACCUGGGAAGUACGGCCGCAAGGCUGAAACUUAAAGGAAUUGGCGGGGGAGCACUACAACGGGUGGAGCCUGCGGUUUAAUUGGACUCAACGCCGGAAAAACUCACCGGGGGCGACAGCAAUAUGUAGGUCAGGCUAAAGACCUUACCCGAAUCGCUGAGAGGAGGUGCAUGGCCGUCGUCAGUUCGU
rnacentral:rRNA from 1 species